GGAGCCAGCUGCGAGACUUGGUGUGAAUUGCAGGACACAUUGAGCACUGAUUUUUCGAACGCGCAUUGCGGCCUCGGGUCCUGCCCGGGGCCUCGCCUGUCUGAGGGUC
rnacentral:rRNA from 1 species